rnacentral:rRNA from 1 species
AUGCGCCUCCGCUCUCCGCUAUCAUCCGUCCCCGCGAUUCGCGCGGACGGCCAGACUGCGGACGCCGACUUCCUGCUUGACUCGUGGCUCGGGGCGCUGCGGUACCUCGGUGGAGACCGCGGGUGGCAGCAGCCAGGCAUCGGGAAGAUCCGUGUCGACCGGGCAUUAGAUCGAGCGUGUCGGGUUGUCGGGGUGGUGACACUGUGCACACCAAAUGGAUACGGCGAUCUCAUGCUGAAUCUGAAGGACCCAUCUGGUACUAUUGAUGCAUCAGUUCACAAGAAAGUUCUAUCAAAUGAAAACCUUUCAAAGGGUUUAUCAGUUGGGUCUGUCAUUGUUCUCAAACAGGUGGCUGUUCUUCGCCCUUCUAGCACAGUGUGCUAUCUGAAUGUUACCCAGAAAAACGUUGAAAAGGUGCUGCAAAAUGACAGUGUCUCCCCAUAUAAGCAAGCAGUUCCAUCAAGUAAUUCUGAAAGGCAAAGCCAACAGCCUGGCCAAGGAGAUAACAUGGAAAGGGAAGCUGGAGCAGAAACAACUGAUGGAAUGACAGCGAUCUUCAGUAAGCUCUCGAGGACCAAGGAUGGCCGGAUAGUCGACUUACUUUGUGAUAAUGGCGGUGCAGCAAAAGCUGUUAACAGUAGUAUUCUGAGAAUGGACAAAGAUACUCAUGGCGUACAAAAUCAUCACGAGAAACGGAUGGAGCAAAUGGAUUCAGGUUCUCAAAUAAAGAAUUUGCCAGGCUUAAACACCAGCCAGCAGCUGCAGAAAAUCAUUUCUAGCAUGAAUCCAGCUAAUUGCCAGCUGAAACAAGGAGGAAGCGUACCCAAGUAUGGGAUAAGCAGUGAAGCUGAAACUUCGGCUGACGAUAUAAUGAGAAAACUCACAGGUGGUGAAAUGAUCAACAACAGGGAUGAGCAUCAGCAGCAAAACCCGGUUGCAGAUACAAGAUGCACACAGCCGAUUCUAGGUGGAAGCUCAGUUAUGGCUGGAAGCAGAGAUUGUUCGCAAGCUUCCUGUACUGGAAAUCUGAGGCAACUCUCUGACGAUGAUUCGAUGCAGCCUCGUAGUAAAAAACUUAAGAGUGAUGCAAGGCUUUCUGAUAGCAAUGGUCUGGAUGACAUAGCAGAUGAUUUCCUCGGUGAUCACAAUCCGAUCAGGAAGCCCGAGCAUCAGCAAAGGGACAUCCAUGGCGCAAGUGCGGGUAGCCUCCAGCCAACUCAAGAAAAUUGCUCAAUAUCUGCCACCGGCGGAACAUUACCUUCCAGUCAUAAGAUGGUUUCAGUGGCUUCUGUACCAGAAUGGACCGAUGAGCAGCUUUCUCAACUUUUUGAUGACUACUGA